rnacentral:rRNA from 1 species
CUUGUGUAUCAGGGCUUAUUAAAUAAAGGUUAAGGCUUUAGUUAUCUCGAAUUUAAAAGAGCUAUGCUUAAAUGUAUAUUAAUGUAGAAUAAUUAUUUAUAAUUUUUGUAUAGUAAUGAAACGUUAUUCGUUUUUAAAUAUAUCUAGUUUUUCAAGAAAUUAAUUAAAUUUAGUAGUUAUUUAAUAUUAUUAUUAUUAUUUAUUUUGAUAUUAGUAGCUGGCAAUACCCAAGGGGAUGAGCUUUUGGGUAAAUACCUAAAAGAUAGACGGUUUCUUAAUAAUUUGUAGGAUUAGAAUUUUCCAUCUAUAGAAGGAUGUUAUAAUUUAUUAUUAUUUAAUAUGAUUUAUAUUUUCUUUAGGUUAUUUAUUGGGGUAAUGGUAGGAAUAAUUAGUACCAUGAAAUAAUGAUAGGAUUAGUAUAAUUAACUGUAUUUUUAGAGUGUUAUUUUUAGGUUAUAGAAAGGAACUCGGCAAGUCUAAUUUUCACCUGUUUAAUAAAAACAUGGCCUUUUGAGUAUGAUUUAAGGUCUUACCUGCCCAAUGAUUUUUUAAUGGCCGCGUAUUUUG